AGUUUGACCUGAGGGUGCAGCGAGUUCGGGUCAACCCGAUAGAUCAGUAGGUGCGAGAAAGCAUAAGCGACUCCGACCCGUUGGUGUAGCUAGUUCUGGUCGGGUCGGGCCACAGUAGGUUCAGUUUGACCCGAGGGUGGGGUGACCCGAGGGACCCCUAAGUUCGGGUCGACCCGAACUCAUUGCACCCGCGGGUCGGAUUUGAUUCCGACUCCGACCUAGCGCUCCCGCUGCACCCACGGGUUGGAAUCGAUUCCGACUGGCUUGCACCUGACUCCGGGUCGGGUCGUGAAAUGAAUCGUAUGACCCAACACUAGUUUAUUUUAACAGGAAUGAACAACAAUUGAACUCAGUUAAACCAAAAUUAACUUUAAACGACUGUUAAAAUGAGUUCAUUUAUUCGCGAUGCCGACUAUUGUUAGAUAAAUAUGUACAUUAGCCAUUUUUAUAUCAAAAAGCGGUGAAAAAACUACUUGAAUUUGAGAUCCGGCACAACCAAGGACUGUGUAGGAACGAAGUCCUAUUAUAUAAAACGAUUUGACAAAGAGCCAAAAGCUCGUUACAAGCAGUUUGACAUCAAAGAGUCCUUUUCGAUUCAAAUUUUAAUUAUGAAUUAUUAAUAAUUAAUCGUCCAGACUGAAAAUUUGCAAGAAAAUUUAUAUUAAAUUGUUAUGGAAUGGAAUUGAGAGUAUUGUGAGAAAAACUCACGAAUUUUCUCGGUUUCUUUCCUAAAAGUAUAUAAAAAUGUGUCGGUUGUGAAUUCAAAUGUGACACGUUAAAAUGUCCGUUUGCUACUGUAUUUAUUUAUUUAUUUAUUUAGAUACAAUUAUCUGCCUCAGAGGGCUAAAUAUAGGGAAACUUACUGACUAAAACUUAAAAUUAAUGAUAACAAACAAAUACUUAAAUCUAACUAGACAAACAUAUACUAGACUGCAAGCAAUUUGUAACACAGGCAACACAAGUAAGAUGAAAGAUUUAGGAUGGGGAAACAAAAAGGGAGUCAAAGAACUGAAGAAAAAGGGGGCGAAGGGAUAGAGGGGAGAUUUGAAAAUCAAACACACCAGAGGCACUGUUGAAGCGAUGGAGGGAUCGAAAAAACGGAUCAAUGGUGCCAUAAAGCGUUCUUCUCGACGGGAUUUGAAGGAAAUCGCGGCGUCGAAGAAAGUGAGCAUACACGUACAGCGGUAUUCUGUUAAGUAGUGAAGGACAAUCAAUCUCGUUCCGAAGCAAACCGCUGAUAAGCAAAGCUUGAGAAGCAGAGCGACGAUCGUGCAGGGUCAUCAAACCAAGCAUACUACAACGGACUUCAUAAGGGGGAAGAGAAGCACCCGAUUGCCCUAAAAGACGCCUAAUGGCAAUACGGGUGAAUCUGCGUUGAACGCUUUCAACCCUUUCAAUCCAUACCGAGCUGACUGGGCACCACACAAUAUUAGUGUAUUCUAAAAUAGGGCGGACUAAGCUACAGAAAAGGUCUUUAAGGCAUAUAGGGUCACGCACAUCUUUUGCCAUAGCACAAAUCAUUCCUAGUACACUAUUGGCAUGGUUAAAGGUGCGCUCCCCAAGCCAAAGCGAGAUGCCCUGUCUUCUCUCUCUAGAUUUUGGAUAGCAAACCGCCGCGCGUGUAGAGGUGUGUGCGUGUGACGAAAAACGAUGGAUGAAAAACGCGAGGAGCGGGGUCCGAAGUUUUUCGUUGGUCACACACACAUGCAUCUACCAGCGGAUUGCGCUACACCGAGUCUACCCAUCUCUCUCAAUCUACCAUGAUUUUUUCUGCUAUCGCACUCAUCCGGGCGUUAGGCAUCCUCAGUCUGUCCAGAACUUUCGUUGUGGAAGGAUGUGCGGGAGUGAUGUGCGAUUUCUUGUGUCCCCUACUUUCGUUGUUUACAUUUUGCGCAGUGUUGCUUCUUCUUCCAUUGUGGAAUGAUUUAUCUUAGCUAACUUGUUGAGUUACAGGUGCAUGCGCUAUUCAUCAACGCCUACCUGUUGGCAUCAUCAACAAUCUUCAAAGUGGGUGACGGAAAGAAAUUGUUUUCCAGUUUUAAAAUAUUAAGCGUUCAGCACAACUCAGCCACAAAACAACGCACUGGAUUGCGCUAAGAACCUGUCGAAACGCGCGCAGCCCCCGGGAGCGGUAGGAGAAAGGAAGAACGAGAGGAGGAAAAACUAAAGCCAGCGCGCAGCUCUGAUGGUACCCCGGACGCGGUAAGAAGAAAAAAGAUCGAGAGGAGGAAGAACGGUAAAUUUGGAAGGGGGAGACCGUUCUGCCGUCUCCACAGUGUGAGUAUGCCAAAGCACGUGUUGGAAGGGAGAGAAAAAGUGUGGAAUAAACCGCAUGCGAAUGUGUGCAUACAGCAAAAAUAAA